rnacentral:rRNA from 1 species
UGCAGUCGACGACCUUCGGGUUAGUGGCGGACGGGUGAGUAACGCGUGAGAAUCUGCCCUCAGGAGGGGGAUAACAGUUGGAAACGACUGCUAAUACCUCAUAUGCCGAGAGGUGAAACGAAUUUUGCCUGGGGAUGAGCUCGCGUCUGAUUAGCUUGUUGGUGGGGUAAAAGCCUACCAAGGCUUCGAUCAGUAGCUGGUCUGAGAGGACGAUCAGCCACACUGGGACUGAGAUACGGCCCAGACUCCUACGGGAGGCAGCAGUGGGGAAUUUUCCGCAAUGGGCGCAAGCCUGACGGAGCAACGCCGCGUGAGGGAUGAAGGCCUUUGGGCUGUAAACCUCUUUUCUCAAGGAAGAAGAUCUGACGGUACUUGAGGAAUAAGCCACGGCUAAUUCCGUGCCAGCAGCCGCGGUAAUACGGGAGUGGCAAGCGUUAUCCGGAAUUAUUGGGCGUAAAGCGUCCGCAGGCGGCCGUUUAAGUCUGUUGUUAAAUCGUGGAGCUCAACUCCAUCACGGCAAUGGAAACUGUUCGGCUUGAGUAUGGUAGGGGCAGAGGGAAUUUCCGGUGUAGCGGUGAAAUGCGUAGAUAUCGGGAAGAACACCAGUGGCAAAAGCGCUCUGCUGGGCCAUUACUGACGCUCAUGGACGAAAGCCAGGGGAGCGAAAGGGAUUAGAUACCCCU